GAUGCAUUUACUAAUGCUGAAAUGUUUGAGUCUAAUUUAGACAAAUACAGCCUAAAUGACGAACAAAGGAAUAGACUAUUUCAAAUAUGGCUGCCGACUCAAAUGGCAUGUAGACUGACCGCGCCCCUAAGAUUUCAGGACAAUGAUGAAAUAAUAUAUGGAAAUAAGCAAGACAGAUUAACACAAUUAAUAAAAUUAACAACAGGGAAUGAUUUUGCAGACACUGAAAUGUUGGAAAAACUAAAACCACACAAAGGGGAGGAUAUAUUUAGUUUUCUUGCAAAAUUUGAAAGUGCAUAUAGACUUGUUGGU